GUAAGCUUAGCUCAGUUGGUAGAGAUAUUGCAUUUUAUAUGCAGAGAUCGGGUUCGAACCCCAGACACUUUACU
rnacentral:tRNA from 1 species